AACGAACGCUGGCGGCAUGCCUAACACAUGCAAGUCGAACGAGACCUUCGGGUCUAGGGGCGCACGGGUGCGUAACGCGUGGGAACCUGCCCUUAGGUUCGGAAUAACUCCCCGAAAGGGGUGCUAAUACCGGAUAAUGUCUUCGGACCAAUGAUUUAUCGCCUUUGGAUGGGCCCGCGUUGGAUUAGCUAGUUGGUAGGGUAAAAGCCUACCAAGGCGACGAUCCAUAGCUGGUCUGAGAGGAUGAUCAGCCACACUGGGACUGAGACACGGCCCAGACUCCUACGGGAGGCAGCAGUGGGGAAUAUUGGACAAUGGGCGAAAGCCUGAUCCAGCAAUGCCGCGUGAGUGAUGAAGGCCUUAGGGUUGUAAAGCUCUUUUACCCGGGAUGAUAAUGACAGUACCGGGAGAAUAAGCUCCGGCUAACUCCGUG
rnacentral:rRNA from 1 species